rnacentral:rRNA from 3 species
CGACCCCAGGUCAGACGGGACUACCCGCUGAGUUUAAGCAUAUCAAUAAGCGGAGGA